UUGAGAGUUUGAUCCUGGCUCAGAACGAACGCUGGCGGCAGGCUUAACACAUGCAAGUCGAACGAUAUAGUGGCAGACGGGUGAGUAACGCGUGGGAACGUACCUUUCACUACGGAAUAGCUCUUGGAAACGAGUGGUAAUACCGUAUACGCCCUUCGGGGGAAAGAUUUAUCGCUAAGAGAUGGACCCGCGUUGGAUUAGAUAGUUGGUGAGGUAAUGGCUCACC
rnacentral:rRNA from 1 species